AAGUAGGGAAAGUAGUGUGAAACGCUGCACUAAUAUGGAUAAAAAUAUAUUAAAUGGGUAGAUUAAAGAUUUGGAAAUUAAUUUCUCAGGAGACCUUUUCCAGUCUAGACUCUAUUGACAUAUCCUGCCAAUUUGUUUGUCUGGUCUCUCUGUGAACAGAACAUUUGAUACUGUAGGCAAUGUGAAGAUCUCUGAUAAGCUUGCUGCUUCCUGCAGCACUCUGUGCUCACACUGAACUUCUUAAAUACAACUUUCAGCUUCUCUGAAAGAACUUCCAGCUUCUCUCCAUCACCCCCAUUCUUUUCACCACGGGCUUUCUCCUUUUUGCACCUUGUGCCUUCAUCCCAUGGGGGACCAUUCUCAGCUUCCACAUCUCCUGUGAGGACGAGGAUGUCUGAGCUCACCGUCUGCCUGCUGGAUGCACACUGCUGAACUGGAGCCUGACUGAGCCAUACUGGAGCUGAAGCAAAGCCUGAUCUGUGGAAACCUGGGAAUGGCAGUGCAGCACCUGCUCAGGUGCCACCUGUGUGCCACUGUCAGGGCUCCUCCAAACUGCCAGCGAGGGAGAGGAGGAUCAGUUUGCAUAGCCUGAGGUAAUGAUGGCUUUGGUGCAGAGGAUGGGAGCUGGGAUGUACUUUAGGGUAGAGUCAGCUCACUAAUUCAUGCUGUGGAGAAGCUGUGAAGGUGGAAAAUCCCCCUUGCCUUGGUGAAGAAUUAAAGGAUUAAGGUAGGCAGCAGCAGCCUGUGGCCGGGGUGCUGCAAGAGGGAAGUUGCAGUCAGAGGCCACUGCUCUUUCCUGCCUCUUUGUGGUUCCUCUUUUCCCCAGAUGAUACUGCUAAAGUCAGAAAGAGAGGCUUUCAUGGCCCAUGCCAGGAUAUGUCCUUUAUUUGUUCAGGUGACAGCAUUUCCUGUGCAAAGGACUGCCAAGUAAUGAGCUGCUCAUGAAUGCUGCUCCAGGGCUGGGGGCUGCUCCCCACCAUGGUGAGUGCAUUGCCCUGCUCACGUGAGAUAUUUGUGGAUUUUGGGUUCUGUAUUAUGGGCUUUGUGCUCAUGUGAGUUUCUCCUUGCUUUCAAAAGCCAGGAUUUAAAGGUGAAUAUCUCUGUUUUAUGAUGGUGCAGAGUUGCCAGCUUCCUGAAGGGAAUGAAUUUGGUUUCUGUUCACAAACAUUGGCUUCUUUA